rnacentral:rRNA from 1 species
AACCUUACUUAAUUUAAUACAUCAUUUUAUCUUAUACAAAUUAUACUAAAUCAAAUCUACAGAUCUUUAUACUAUUCAAGUAAACCAAGAAACAAUAAUAAAGUAAAAUACAACAGUAUCGUAAGAGAAAGCUGAAAAAUAUGAAACCCCAUCAUAAGAAAGUAAGUAACUCAACUGUACCUUUUGUAUCAGGGCUUAUUUAAUAAAAACCAAAUCGCUUAUAUCCCGAAAUAAGAAGAGCUAAAUUUUUAUUAAAACAUUUAUGUUACAAAAUAACAAAAAAAUUAAAUUUAGAUGUGAUAUGCUAAUCAAUUCUUAUGAUAUCUGGUUUUUCAAAAAAUGAAUUCAAUUCAGGACUCCUAUUAUUAAUAUUAUUAAUUUAACAAUAACUAUUUAAUAAAAAUACAGUCUAAUAAUUCUGAGGAUUAGCCCAGAAUUAAUUUAUAACCCAACUACAUAAUUAUAUAUAUACAACAAGGCCUGAAAGUAGCCUCCUACAAAUAAUUGUUAUAAACAAUUUACAUUUAAUAACAAAUUUAACAAACAUAGGUUUAAACUAUUUAUUGAAAUAAAUUGAUAAACAAUCAAUUAAUUUAAAUAAUGAUAAGAUUAGUAAAUAAAAUAUUUUAAACAUUAUAUAAAUGGAAUUAACCUCACCCUAAAUAUAAUAAAGGAACUAGGCAAAAAAAAACUAUUUUACCAAUUAUCCGUCUGUUUAUCAAAAACAUCUCCUCUUGCCUAAAAUAUAAGAGGUAUGAUCUGCCCAAUGAAAUUUUUAAAUGGCCGCGGUACCCUGACCGUGCAAAGGUAGCAUAAUCAAUAGCCCUCUAAUUAAGGGCUCGAAUGAAAGAUUACACGAGAUAUAAACUGUCUCUAAUAUAAAAAUCUAAAUUAACCUUUAUGUCAAAAGGCAUAAAUAAAUUGAAAAGACGACAAGACCCUGUAGACCUUUACAUUUAAAACUCUAAAUUAGAGAACCAUAAUGUUUUGUUGGGGCAACACAUGAGAAACAAAAAACCUCCUUAAUAAUAAUCACACUAAUUAGUGAAUUUAUGAUCCAGUCUUUACUGAAAUUUAGACCAAGGUACCUCAGGGAUAACAGCGUAAUCCCCUUUAAGAGCUCUAAUCGAAAGGGGGGUUUGCGACCUCGAUGUUGGAUUAAGGUAAGCCACAGGUGCAACCGCUUGAUAAGCUAGGUCUGUUCGACCUUUAAAACCUUACAUGAUCUGAGUUCAGACCGGCGUAAGCCAGGUCGGUUUCUAUCUUUCAAAUUUUAAACACUAGACUAGUACGAAAGGACCGUUUAAUGGGUAUAAUAUUUACUAUAAAAACUA